UACAGAGGGUGCAAGCGUUAAUCGGAAUUACUGGGCGUAAAGCGUGCGUAGACGGUUACAUAAGUCGGGUGUGAAAGCCCGGGCUCAACCUGGGAAUUGCAUUCGAGACUGCGUAGCUAGGGUGCGGAAGAGGGAAGCGGAAUUCCAGGUGUAGCGGUGAAAUGCGUAGAUAUCAGGAGGAACACCGGUGGCGAAGGCGGCUUCUGGACAGUAACUGACGCUGAGGCGCGAAAGCUAGGGGAGCAAACAGG
rnacentral:rRNA from 1 species